UGCCCCAUGGCAAUGAGCAAAGAGACACCUUGUUGGUGGUGUUUUUCUUAUAUCACCCAGGGACAGAGCAGAUGUCAGGCCUUGUCCCUCCUAGCUUGAUGCAUGGCUUGGUGGCCAAAGCUGUUUUAUGCCUAGGGCUCAUCA
ensembl:snoRNA